rnacentral:rRNA from 1 species
CCUACGGGUGGCAGCAGUGGGGAAUAUUGGACAAUGGGCGCAAGCCUGAUCCAGCCAUGCCGCGUGUGUGAAGAAGGCCUUAUGGUUGUAAAGCACUUUAAGCGAGGAGGAGGCUACUUUAGAUAAUACCUAGAGAUAGUGGACGUUACUCGCAGAAUAAGCACCGGCUAACUCUGUGCCAGCAGCCGCGGUAAUACAGAGGGUGCAAGCGUUAAUCGGAUUUACUGGGCGUAAAGCGCGCGUAGGCGGCUAAUUAAGUCAAAUGUGAAAUCCCCGAGCUUAACUUGGGAAUUGCAUUCGAUACUGGUUAGCUAGAGUGUGGGAGAGGAUGGUAGAAUUCCAGGUGUAGCGGUGAAAUGCGUAGAGAUCUGGAGGAAUACCGAUGGCGAAGGCAGCCAUCUGGCCUAACACUGACGCUGAGGUGCGAAAGCAUGGGGAGCAAACAGGAUUAGAUACCCUAGUAGUC